rnacentral:rRNA from 1 species
UACGUAGGGGGCAAGCGUUGUCCGGAAUCAUUGGGCGUAAAGCGCGUGUAGGCGGUUCGGUAAGUCGGCUGUGAAAGUCCAGGGCUCAACCCUGGGAUGCCGGUCGAUACUGCCGGACUAGAGUUCGGAAGAGGCGAGUGGAAUUCCCGGUGUAGCGGUGAAAUGCGCAGAUAUCGGGAGGAACACCAAUGGCGAAGGCAGCUCGCUGGGACGUUGCUGACGCUGAGGCGCGACAGCGUGGGGAGCAAACAGG